AUUGCUGCACUGUAGGAACUAGAAGCACAAGCAUUUCGCUACACUCGCAAUAACAUCUGCUAACCAUGUGUAUGUGACCAAUAACAUUUGAUUUGAUUGGAUGGUGAGUCACAAUCUACACCCCUAGAAGCUGCUUGUACAGAAAACUUGUUAUUUUUAUCAAAUCACCUUUAAAGGUGAAGAAGAUGCAGCUACCAGGACUAGAUGACAUAAUGAACUUCAACCAUGAAUCAUCACCACAGUGGAUCAGUUAUAACUCAUUAAAAUGUUUACUGACUUAGCAAUAAAAAAUAAUAUACUGAAACAUGAUUUAAAAAAAAAAAUAGUUGUUACAUGUCCUGUGUAGUUAAAACAAUGCAUUUACAGAUUUCAAAAAAAUCUUCCAAUUCAAAACAUCAGUCAUCAUGCCUUGAAUGUUUCACAACUGUUUGGAAUGAGAGGGAGAGGGAGAAAGCAAUCGCAACUCUUCUACACCCUGUACCAUAACAGAGAAUAGAGUAGUACUAUACCUCGCAGUAUGAAAAGGAGGGGGAGUUGAGUUCACAUGAUACCCUGCUCUGGGUAGAUGGCAUAUCUGAUAGGGAGGGCUAGUGGAGUUCACAUGAUACCCUACUCUGGGUAGAUGGCAUGUCUGAUUACAGUGAUCCAGUGUUUAUGAUUCUCAUCAGGUAUUUCUGCAGGUAAGACCCAUUGCAGUCAGACUGAGGAGGAGAGAGGGGGGUGAGGGAGGCAACUGUUCCCAGUACAUUUUGUUUCCCCAUCAGAGAGGAUGGUAAAAAGCAAUAGGAGAAAUGGACAUCGAUACACCAUCUGCUCUCAGUGGAGUCUGUUAGCGUCAUUUAAUGUUUACAUGUUGAGUACAGCCUUAGUCUAAAUUCUCAUUAUACUUCACAACAAGCUCACUGGCAACUAAACACACAGAAUAAAACUACAAUCUAUUGGAAUGAGGAUGUUCUGCAGUGCUAUCCUGUUUUGGCUCUACACUAAUGACAUUCUAAAUCCCCUUGCUGGUGUUGACCCUCCUGAACUACAACAGUGUAGUAAUCAGGGGUCAGUACAUGUGGCCCUUUGUAGCUCAGUUGGUAAAGCAUGGUACUUGUAGCACCAAGGUACUGGGUUUGAUUCCCGGGAUUGCUUUGAAUGAAAGCGUCUGCAAAAUACAUAUUCUGUGACCAGGAACAAGUGGGAAUAGACCUGUAUUCACCUGAUCCAAGUCAUAAUGCAUAGCGCUAGACAAACUCCACCUUACUCAAACACAGAGGCUGAGUCAGAUGUGUGAGAGCGUGGGCAAGACAAAAGACCACUCAAUCAUGGUUGGACCUCUCCAUCACGGUUGACAACUCCAUAGUGUCCUCCUCCCAGAGUGCAAAGACCCUUGGUGUGACCCUGGACAACACCCUGUAGUUCUCUGCAAACAUCAAAGCAGUGAUUCGGUCCUGCAGGUUGAUGCUCUACAACAUCCGUAGAGUGUGACCCUACCUCACACAGGAAGAGGUGCAGGUCCUAAUCCAGGCACUUGUCCUCUCCAGUCUGGACUACUGUAACUCACUGGUUGUCUGGGCUCCCUACAACCGACUACUCCGUUCUGCCACCUCUGGUCUCUUGGCCCGCCGACCCCUGCGGGAGGGCAGCUCCGCUCAGCUCAGUCCAGUCACAGCUCUUCUCUGUCCUGACAUUGGUGGAACCAGCUUCCCCAUGAAGCUAGGACAGAUACCUUGCCCAUGUUCCCCAAAACAUCUGAAACCCUGCCUCUUUAAAGAGUAUCU
rnacentral:lncRNA from 13 species